ACGUUACUAACGACGAUAUGCUUUGGGGAGCUGUAAGUAAGCUUUGAUCCAGAGAUUUCCGAAUGGGGAAACCCAGCAUGAGUUAUGUCAUGUUAUCGAUAUGUGAAUACAUAGCAUAUCAGAAGGCACACCCGGAGAACUGAAACAUCUUAGUACCCGGAGGAAGAGAAAGAAAAUUCGAUUCCCUUAGUAGCGGCGAGCGAAACGGGAAGAGCCCAAACCAACAAGCUUGCUUGUUGGGGUUGUAGGACACUCUAUACGGAGUUACAAAGGACGACAUUAGACGAAUCAUCUGGAAAGAUGAAUCAAAGAAGGUAAUAAUCCUGUAGUCGAAAAUGUUGUCUCUCUUGAGUGGAUCCUGAGUACGACGGAGCACGUGAAAUUCCGUCGGAAUCUGGGAGGACCAUCUCCUAAGGCUAAAUACUCUCUAGUGACCGAUAGUGAACCAGUACCGUGAGGGAAAGGUGAAAAGCACCCCGGAAGGGGAGUGAAAUAGAACCUGAAACCGUGUGCUUACAAGUAGUCAGAGCCCGUUAAUGGGUGAUGGCGUGCCUUUUGUAGAAUGAACCGGCGAGUUACGAUUUGAUGCAAGGUUAAGCAGUAAAUGUGGAGCCGUAGCGAAAGCGAGUCUGAAUAGGGCGUUUAGUAUUUGGUCGUAGACCCGAAACCAGGUGAUCUACCCUUGGUCAGGUUGAAGUUCAGGUAACACUGAAUGGAGGACCGAACCGACUUACGUUGAAAAGUGAGCGGAUGAACUGAGGGUAGCGGAGAAAUUCCAAUCGAACCUGGAGAUAGCUGGUUCUCUCCGAAAUAGCUUUAGGGCUAGCCUCAAGUGAUGAUUAUUGGAGGUAGAGCACUGUUUGGACGAGGGGCCCCUCUCGGGUUACCGAAUUCAGACAAACUCCGAAUGCCAAUUAAUUUAACUUGGGAGUC
rnacentral:rRNA from 1 species